ensembl:lncRNA
AUGUGCAACAGAACCAACAAGUUUUGAACUGACAUUGUCUGUCUUUUAUUACAAAGCCUGUCUGGUACACAAGUCCAUUUGUCCUGACUAAUUACAGAGAUUACAGAGAUCAGUAUUUAUAUAUAUUUAGAUGUCAUACUGCAAAGACUACAACCACAGUACAGUGCAGGACUUUGUUGCCUAGAGCUGCAUUUUUGCAAAGCAUUCGCUCUGCUUGGUUUUACCAGCAGAUUUCCAUUGAAAGGUAAUUUUCUUGGCCAGCCCCUUAAGUCUACGUUUCCGUCACAAGAAGAGGAGCGUCCCCUGCACCUCAUGAGGCAUUAAACUCUCUCAAUCCCCCCGAACUCCUUCUCUGGUUGUCUCUUUAUGUCCCCUUGAAAUGCCAUGCUUUCUCGCUCACUGUCUCACUCCGUCCCACUAUCUCUAGAUCUCUUUCGGUGAACCAUUUUCUCAGAACUUGUUAUCCUACCACCUUACAUAAGGGGGAAAUUCCUUUAUGCUUAUGUUCCCGAUUACACUGCUAUUAUAGAAAGUUCAACGCUGUCAAAAAAACACAAAACAUAAGUAGAUUAGUGUGGUGUGUGUGUUUGGGCAUAAAAAAGUAUACAUACAGGCUCAAUUAUUAUACAUACAUUUAUUUAAAUACAACACUACAAUGUCUUUUACCCUGACAAGGCCAAGGCUUGUUAACUUGUUAGUGAUCAUGAUCGACUGCAUCUGGUAGUUUCUCUUUGCCAACAUAAAAAAGGAUUUGUUUGAUUUUCACUGGAUUGACCAAUACUCAAAACCAAUCCAAGGAAGAAUUAUAGGCUCAUUUUUGAACAAUAGCAAAUUCAAAGAUCAUGGUCAGACAAGAAAAGGAUUCAGUGUUUUGGCCACAAUGACAAGGGAUGUGUUUGGAGGAGUAAAGGUGAACCUUUCAAACCUAAGAACACUGUAACAGCUGUCAAGCAUGGUGGUGGUAGCAUCAUCCCCUGGGGCUGUUUUGCUACUAGCACAUUGCACAAAUGGUUAGUGCAAUGAAUAGUAAAAGAGGACUACCUCUAAAAUCUUCAACUUCUCCUCAAAUCAACAGGCGGAAACUUGGACACAGUUAACUGUUUCAACAUGAAAACACAUGAAAACUGUUUUUGAGCUUCUGGGAUGUCCGUCCCCAAGCCCCCAUCUCAACCGCACUGAAAAUUUGUGAACUAUUCUUUAAAGCCGGGACUUUGCCAGGAAAACAAACCAAUGAACUCUACUGAUUCUGCCAAGAUGAGUGGUCAAAUAAACAAAAGUGUCUGGUCAAUGUCCAAUCUACUAAGAGACAUUAAAUUAACAUCACAUUCAUACCCAUGAUGAGUGAAUGCAAACCUUUGACUACAACUGUGUGUAGUGUCUAAAAGUGCAAUUCAGAAGGCUUCAAAAGCAACUUAAAUACUGCUUUAAAAUAUGUACCUUCUUAAUUUCUAUGUUGACCCAUAGCUCUUGACUCCCUAAAUCAUACAGUCAGUUCAAGUUGAUGAAUGAAAGUAGCUGACAGUCACCUAACAAAGUUAGUCUUAACCCCAGAAUCAUGCAGCAUUUCCCAGACAUAAAGGCAGCCAUGAAAAUUGAAAGCCUAAAUGUUCCCAUUCUAGAUGUUGACCAGGGCAAACAUGGAGAACAUUUCUUUCACGUGUCCCGGAGGUGCUUCCAGACGAAAAAAGAAACAGAGAAAAAUUUCCAAAAGAGGCAAAACACUCGUAACCGCUGGUAAUAUGUUUCUCAUGGUGGUGCAUUCAUAGCAGCGAGGGAGGCAAAUGCCUUUGGUUAAGCGGAGUUAUUUAUUCUGUCCCUGGAAACAGUUGAAGAACAACAAAAGUAUUCUCAACAAAGAGUAGCACGACCUGAUGCUGCUGCCUGUUUUCCUCCCGUCUGUGGUGACUGUCCUUCUUCAAUAUGGGGGCACUACUGGCACACAGCAUACUCAAAAAGCCACACAAUAGGCACGUUCACCUCAAAGAGAACUUUUCAACUGUAAAGCUGGAGAAGAAACACUGCUAAGUUGAUCCUUCAGGCUCAGUUUCAGUGUGGGUAAGCGCUUGGAAAGAAACAAAAACAUUGCCAAUUCUGUUGUUUGGAUUUGCAGAGCCCGGUGCACAUGAAUGCCCACUCACAUG